rnacentral:rRNA from 1 species
GACGAACGCUGGCGGCGUGCUUAACACAUGCAAGUCGAACGAGUGGCGAACGGGUGAGUAACGCUAAUCAACCUGCCCUUCAGAGGGGGACAACAGUUGGAAACGACUGCUAAUACCGGAUACGGUGGGGGAUGCUCGCGUCCUAUCAGCUUGUUGGUGGGGUAGUGGCCUACCAAGGCGACGACGGGUAGCCGGCCUGAGAGGGCGACCGGCCACACUGGAACUGAGACACGGUCCAGACUCCUACGGGAGGCAGCAGUGGGGAAUAUUGCACAAUGGGCGCAAGCCUGAUACAGCCAUGCCGCGUGUAUGAAGAAGGCCUUCGGGUUGUAAAGUACUUUCAGCGAGGAGGCGUUACUCGCAGAAGAAGCACCGGCUAACUCCGUGCCAGCAGCCGCGGUAAUUC